rnacentral:rRNA from 1 species
UACGGAGGGUGCGAACGUUAAUCGGAAUUACUGGGCGUAAAGCGUGCGUAGACGGUUGCGUAAGUCAGAUGUGAAAGCCCCGGGCUCAACCUGGGAAUUGCAUUUGAGAUUGCGUAGCUAGGGUGCGGAAGAGGGAAGCGGAAUUUCCGGUGUAGCGGUGAAAUGCGUAGAUAUCGGAAGGAACACCAGUGGCGAAAGCGGCUUCCUGGUCCAGCACCGACGUUCAGGCACGAAAGCGUGGGGAGCAAACAGG